rnacentral:tRNA from 1 species
GGCUGUGGCUCAGUGGCAGAGCACUUGCCCAGCACGCAUGAGGCCCUGGGUUCAAUCCUCAGCACCA